rnacentral:lncRNA from 10 species
CCCUGGGUGCAGUGUGCAGGGUCAUGCGCUGCUGGGGGGAGGCCCACACCUCUGUUCCCAAGGUGCGUUCGGGUGGACAGCACUGGGCCCAUCUGCUCUUGGGAGGUUCACGUGGGGUGUCAUGUGUUACGGGAAAAGCUGACGGGACAGUUCCUGAGUAACACGUCCAUCCUGAGAGGGUGGAGGUCUGGAGGACAUUCCUUUUCAGACUGGUCUCUGAGCUUCACUGAGCUUCCUUGAAGGCAGCCCCCUGAGCCCCUCCCGAUGUCCCUCCUGAGGAGCUUCCUGGAGGAAGAGGUGCCGCCUCCCUCAUCUGGCCCUCAUCUGGCUGGGGGUGUGCGGCCCUGUCUUGGUCUCCUCUUCCUGUGGGUGGGGGCGUCCAGCCCCCAGACGAUGUUUCUGACAAAGGCCCCCUCAGUGGUCACAGCACAUGCCCAGCUGCUGGGCUGUUCUGGUGAGAAAAACG